rnacentral:rRNA from 1 species
CCUACGGGAGGCUGCAGUGAGGAAUUUUCGUCAAUGGCCGAGAGGCUGAACCAGCCAAGUCGCGUGAGGGAAGAAUGUCCUAUGGAUUGUAAACCUCUUUUGUCAGGGAGCAAAGUCACCCACGUGUGGGUUUUGGAGAGUACCUGAAGAAAAAGCAUCGGCUAACUCCGUGUCAGCAGCCGCGGUAAUACGGAGGAUGCGAGCGUUAUCCGGAUUUAUUGGUUUUAAAGGGUGCGUAGGCGGGUUAUCAAGUCAGCGGUAAAAGCGUGGAGCUCAACUCCAUCCCGCCGUUGAAACUGAUGAUCUUGAGUGGGCGAGAAGUAUGCGGAAUGCGUGGUGUAGCGGUGAAAUGCAUAGAUAUAACGAAGAACUCCGAUUGCGAAGGCAGCAUACCGGCGCCCGACUGACGCUGAAGCACGAAAGCGUGGGUAUCGAACAGGAUUAGAUACCCCUGUAGUC